UACGUAGGUGACCAGCGUUGUCCGGAUUUACUGGGCGUAAAGAGCGCGCAGGCGGUCGUUCAAGUCGCGUGUGAAAGCCCCCGGCUCAACUGGGGAGGGUCACGCGAUACUGAUCGACUCGAAGGCAGGAGAGGGUAGUGGAAUUCCCGGUGUAGUGGUGAAAUGCGUAGAGAUCAGCAGGAACACCCGUGGCGAAGGCGGCCCCCUGGGCCGUACCUGACGCUGAGGCGCGAAGGCUAGGGGAGCGAACGGG
rnacentral:rRNA from 1 species